rnacentral:rRNA from 1 species
GAUCCUAGCUCAGGAUGAACGCUGGCGGCGUGCUUAACACAUGCAAGUCGAACGAAGCACCUUGAUUCGAUUCUUCGGAUGAAGAUCUUGGUGACUGAGUGGCGGACGGGUGAGUAACGCGUGGGUAACCUGCCUCAUACAGGGGGAUAACAGUUAGAAAUGACUGCCAAUACCGCAUAAGACCACAGCACCGCAUGGUGCAGGGGUAAAAACUCCGGUGGUAUGAGAUGGACCCGCG